AGCUGCCGCGUGUACCUAUUCCUCCCGGUGCCGCCAGCUGUUCCCCUCUGGAGGUUCACACCUUCACAUCUCAUGGGCCGCAACUACCAGCGGCCCAUUUUU
rnacentral:sRNA from 1 species